UCCAAAAUGUCAGUCUCGUUCUUUACAAAGCAUUAACAAAAAAAUCUAAACAAAAUAAAAAUCCAUCAUCAAUAAUAUACGAUGAUAUAUCCACUUUAACCAAAAAAAAAAAAAAAAAAACUAUAUAUAAAGCCUAACACUCCAUUCAUUCUUCAGCAUAUUCCCCCAUACAAUGUUGGACAAAUUCAAUAAAUUCGACCCGAAGCUCGUCAAUAUCAUUCUUUGAGAAAUUCUUCUUAGCAACCAGAUUCUUUACCUGAGAAUAUUGAAACAAUAUACAUAAAUACAUGCAUGAAUAUAUUAGUUAUCUAAAACAAGACAUACCCUCAUUUCCAUGGAUUGAGAUGAAUCCCCCAUUAACUCUCUCAUGAACUUCAUACAAUAAAAACCACAUUCCUUAAAGUUAGGUUGUCGAGGAACCUGUAUGGAGGGAACUCUUAAAAUAUAUACAAGUCGAAACUAUGAAGGAAUUGAAGUGAUUAAUUAUGUUUAUCUACAACGAGAUUACCUUAUCAGAAUGCCAUGUUGGUGAUACUACUUUUUUUCCCUCCACCCUUUUGAAUAGCAAUAAGGCACUUUAAAAAAGAUGAUGAGUUAGAUAAGGUAAUUAUAUAAAAAUGAUUACUAAACCAAGUUUAUAUCUGUACUCACGUGUUAACAAUAAUUUUCAAA
rnacentral:lncRNA from 1 species